AAAUAGUAGUUAUCUGCUUUGGUUAAUACAGGUGAGUGUAUAUUGUGAAACUAAGCAGGCUAAUCAACAGUAUCUUCUCUGUACCUUAAUUUCUUCAAAGGAGCAACAUAUAAGUACUUGCUACAGUCAAAAUUCCAAAUUCAAAUUUGGGAUAUGUGCUAGAAUGAUACAUUCCCAUUUUUAAAUAAGGCUGGGAAUUUUAUAUUGCAUAUGACAGAAGGGAUUCCUUUUCUGUAAUGGUGUAGAACUGGUAUUACAUGAAAUUAAUACAGAUACUAUUCCUUAAUCAUUCUGAAUUAAAGUGAUGGAGGGAGGAAGAUAGCCCAAAGCCAUAGCAGGAUGUUUGAAUUACUUAAGUUGAUCCAAGAAGCAAAUUAUAUUAGCACUUUGUAUUGAAAAUAAUCACAACAGAACUAUAUGAGAUCUCAGUACUAGUUUUUGCAUAGCUAUAUGGCAUUCUGAACCAAAUCCAAGUCUGCAGCAGGGGAAAGAAAAGUUGAAGUGCUGACAAGGCAGGAAAUACCCAGUAUUAAGGAAAAGAUCUGUGUCCAACUGAAACAGUCUGUUAACUCAUAUGAUAUAGAUUGUGAAAUGCCAAGAGAAAAUCUGGUCCCCUCACAGUUUAGAAAAUGGACUAAAUAAGAGCAGCUGUGUGGGUAAAUAAUUAUCCCAUACUUUGGCAUUAAAAUGUUGGCUGAUUUUUACCAGUUUUUGACAAUGGAAGUCUUUCAGAUGUAAGUCCCAGGAAAUAACAGCCAAAGGAUAUUAUCUGUCACUUUGUUAAACCAAUAGUGGAGUUAGUAAUUUCUGGAAUUCAACAGAACCCUUCUUUUGUUGGGCUGUUGUUUUGUGACUCUCCCAGUUUACCUUACCCCAUGUGACUGUUGCACUACAAUGUCUCUCUUGCCCAGCUAUGACUGAGGCAAGACUUAAUAAAGAAAAGCCAAGGAUAAAUACAAAACAUGCAAAUAAGUAUCAUUCCAUUAAUUCAUUCUGGGAAAAAGAGCAGAAUCUUGGAAACAGAUUUCUCAAGAGAGCAAGAGCAAUUUAAAACAGCAUGAACUGCAUGACAUCCACGUUCCAAGGAAAAACCUGUGCUCAGUAAAAUCUCAAGACAGACCCACAGGAAAUCACAAGCUGCCUAUCUUAUUUCAUAGCUAGAUGCUGUUCUGCGAGGUUUUAAUUGCAGAGGUGCUGUGGCAAGAGCUUUAGUAUCUAAGUUUAGUGUGAGACAUAUGGAUGAAAGUCAAGCUGUCCUUUAGUUGUCAUUGUGAUGUAGAUAGGUCUUAGGGGUGUCCUUGUGUGCACACUCAGUGCCCCAAACUCAUUAAGUCCCCGGGUGCUCCAGAAAUUCCUCAGCUAGUCCCUGCACACAAGAGACACACAGCUGAGCAAAGGCAAGGUGACAGACUUGGCUCCUCCUCAGCUCCACAAUAAAAGGAUCUGGCUAACUAUUGCAAGAGUUAUUGCACUAAUUUUCAGGUGAGGAAUUCAGACAGUCCUGAGGGCUCCUCCCUCGCUGCUCCUGCUUGUUUCAAGACAACUUUCUACACCUGAAUUUGUCCCAUAACCUCCUGGCUGAAGAAUCUGGCCCUUUCAGACCCUCCUGGUGGUUCCUGCUGCAGAACUGCUGGGACUGCAUGCAGGCAUAAUAAAACUAAAUCUGAGAAGAUGGAUGUAUCCAUACUUCUGAAGAGCUCUCAGCAAAUUCUGUUCUCCCCUCCUCUCCCACUUGGCUGCAGUUAAAUACUUCCUCUAACAUAAUUGUAUUAAAAGCAACUCAAUGAAAAAUCCCA